UACGUAGGGUGCGAGCGUUAAUCGGAAUUACUGGGCGUAAAGCGUGCGCAGGCGGUUAUGUAAGACAGGUGUGAAAUCCCCGGGCUCAACCUGGGAACUGCCUUUGUGACUGUAUAGCUUGAGUGCGGCAGAGGGGGAUGGAAUUCCGCGUGUAGCAGUGAAAUGCGUAGAUAUGCGGAGGAACACCGAUGGCGAAGGCAAUCCCCUGGGCCUGCACUGACGCUCAUGCACGAAAGCGUGGGGAGCAAACAGG
rnacentral:rRNA from 1 species